CCGGACGCCCAAAGGGGCCGGCAGUUCAUCGGGCCCAACGGGUCUGGUGGCAAAACCUUGUACCCAUGUUGCUCAAUGGAGGAUGUGGCUAUGAGAA
rnacentral:sRNA from 1 species